CCCCAUAGGUUAGCUCAGUUGGUUAGAGUGUGGUGCUGAUAACACCAAGGUCACAGAUUUGAUCUCCGUAUGGGUG